AGCAUACCAUAAUCUGUGUGUGGUGGCAAUCCUAGUGUAAGAUCUGGCUCAGGACAUGCUGGAUAGCAAUUAACGGCCAUGACCUGAGAGCCUUCUGCAAUGUCUUCAUGUGACAUGGAUGUAACACGACAAGUAGGGUACCUGGAAGAAACCUAGUUCCUUGCAAGCCAGGUGUACUUCCUGGAUUAUCUGAGGCCGAAGAAGAGGGUGUCGCAGAAAGGAGAGAUCUACAACGGGCAAGCAUGUGUCACACAGGGUACGCUCGGGGCGUAAGGAUGGGGGAAGAAUGUAACGCUUGGGAACAUAGGUUAGCCCCUCUUCAUUUAGUGUCAUGGCAGUAGUAAAGGAACCAUUUGGUGAAGCUGAGCUAUCUCUCAUUUUUCCCACCAUAUUGUGCUCUUUCUCCCUUUAUGUUAUGGCUUAUCUCCCUAUUUAUAAGCAACAAAUGUGAAGAUAAGAUUGGAGUUUUUGAUUAUUUUUCCA